rnacentral:rRNA from 1 species
AUGAAGAAGCUGCGGUCCUCCGCGGCGUCGUCGUCGCAGGGCGCGGUCCCGGAGCGGUUCCUCAUGCGGCUGACAGCGGCGUCCCCGACGCUGGUGUCGCUGCCCGUCAUCGACCUCUCCGGCGGCCGCGACGAGGUCCGCCGGGCCGUGCUCCACGCCGGCAAGGAGCUCGGCUUCUUCCAGGUGAUCAACCAUGGCAUGCCAGAGCGAACAAUGAGGGAGAUGGAGAUGGCGUGCAGCGACUUCUUCCGCCUCCCAACAACGGACAAGGCAACAUUGUACUCAGAGGACAGCGAGCAGACCAACCGGCUCUUAUCGAGCACCAUGUACAGGUCCGCCGCUAGUGAGAGCUACGCGUGCCAUUGCCUCCAUCUCGCAUGCCACCCCGUCGAGCGCACCAAGCCCUCCUGGCCCGAAAAGCCUGUCAGACUCCGCCCGGCCCUUGAGGACUUCAUUAUCCCUGCUCGCAGCAUUGCGAUGGAACUCCUCCGUCUCCUCUGUGAGGGCAUCGGGCUCCAGCCGGACUACUUCGAGGGCGGCCUCACCGGCGGUGAUGUGAUCAUCAACGCGAACCGCUACCCGCCAUGCGCGGACCCGAACCUUACCCUCGGUCUGCCGCCACACUGUGACUGGAACCUCAUCACCGUGCUACUCCAACCCGGGUACGUGUGUGGUUUGCAGGUGUUGUACAAUGGUGACUGGAUCGACGUCGAUCCCAUACCGGGAGCGCUGGUCAUCAACUUCGGCCACCAAUUGGAGAUCGCCACCAACGGGGUGCUCCGGAGCAUCGAGCAUCGGACCGUGCCCAACAUCGUCGUGGGGAGGACGACGGUGGCUGCUUUAAUCAUGCCGACCAUGGACUGUGUGGUGGGGCCUGCCAAGGAGCUCGUCGUCGAGGGCAGGUCGGCGAGGUACCGGAGGGUCGCGUUCCGCGACUUCAUGCACAUCUACAAUACGGUCGGCGCAUGCAAAGAGAGUGUGGAGGAGGCCUUAAAGAUCUGA